UCAACUCGGAGGAAGGUGGGGAUGACGUCAAAUCAUCAUGCCCCUUAUGUCUUGGGCUUCACGCAUGCUACAAUGGCCGGUACAGAGGGCUGCGAUACCGCGAGGUGGAGCGAAUCCCAAAAAGCCGGUCUCAGUUCGGAUUGGGGUCUGCAACUCGACCCCAUGAAGUCGGAGUCGCUAGUAAUCGCAGAUCAGCAACGCUGCGGUGAAUACGUUCCCGGGCCUUGUACACACCGCCCGUCAAGCCAUGGAAGCCGGGAGUGCCUGAAGUCCGUCACCGAGAGGAGCGGCCUAGGGCAAAAUCGGUAACUAGGGCUAAGUCGUAACAAGGUAGCCGU
rnacentral:rRNA from 1 species